AUGCCAGCCAGCUGCCUUCCAGAACAUUCUCCCAGCUCAUAGCCAAGCCUCGGCUUUUAGGGAUGAGCAGUGCUGCUGUUAACUGCCUGGUCUCUCUGGUUCCCAUCCUUUUCUGCCUGAACCUGGCAGCCUCCACCCCUGCAAGACCUGGGCUGGGCCAGCCAGUGAAGAGAAGAGGCUAGAGAGAUGGGCAGACUGACUGUUAAAGACACCGGCCUCAGAGCAGUAGGGAGCCAUAGAAGAUCAGAUCCUCUUCCUCUAGAACAUCUUCCUGGCUCCCCCAGACGCUGGGCUAGAACUCACUCACCAGCGGUUUCCUUGUCAGUAUCUGGCAGGACAGCGAUAGAGAAAGAUGGCGGCGGCGGCGGCGGCGGUGGCGGCGGCAGGAAGUGGAGCGCAGCCAGGAAGCCCCGCGGGAGAAACUGCGGCUGCUGCGGGGGCGGCGGCUGCGGAAGCUGCGGGUAGUAGCUCGGCUGGAAGUCUCCCUCGGACUCUGUCAUCUGCACGGCACACAUGGCAGGGAAGUCAAGGGGGAAGAAGCUUAGCCAGGACACAGAAGCUGAGUCCAUGCCAAGGGACCCCAAGGCUGGAAUGGGGGCAUCUGGAGUGAGGACUACACAGAUUGGAGCUUAACACACAAAGACA